GACGAACGCUGGCGGCGUGCUUAACACAUGCAAGUCGAACGAUGAAGCCGGAGCUUGCUCUGGUGAAUUAGUGGCGAACGGGUGAGUAACACGUGAGUAACCUGCCCUUGACUCUGGGAUAACUGCGGGAAACUGUAGCUAAUACCGGAUACGACCCUCGGAGGCAUCUCCUGGGGGUGGAAAGAAUUUCGGUCAAGGAUGGACUCGCGGCCUAUCAGCUAGUUGGUGAGGUAAAGGCUCACCAAGGCGACGACGGGUAGCCGGCCUGAGAGGGUGACCGGCCACACUGGGACUGAGACACGGCCCAGACUCCUGCGGGAGGCAGCAGUGGGGAAUAUUGCGCAAGGGGCGCAAGCCUGAUGCAGCAACGCCGCGUGAGGGAUGACGGCCUUCGGGUUGUAAACCUCUUUUAGCAGGGAAGAAGCGAAAGUGACGGUACCUGCAGAAAAAGCACCGGCUAACUACGUGCCAGCCGCCGCCGUAA
rnacentral:rRNA from 1 species